UACAGAGGGGGCAAGCGUUGUUCGGAAUUACUGGGCGUAAAGGGCGCGUAGGCGGCCUUCUAAGUCGAACGUGAAAUCCCCGGGCUCAACCCGGGAACUGCGUCCGAUACUGGAAGGCUUGAAUCCGGGAGAGGGAUGCGGAAUUCCAGGUGUAGCGGUGAAAUGCGUAGAUAUCUGGAGGAACACCGGUGGCGGAGGCGGCUAUCUGGACCGACAUUGACGCUGAGGCGCGAAAGCGUGGGGAGCAAACAGG
rnacentral:rRNA from 1 species